AACGAACGCUGGCGGCAGGCCUAACACAUGCAAGUCGAGCGAACCCUUCGGGGUUAGCGGCGGACGGGUUAGUAACGCGUGGGAAUAUACCCUUUGGUACGGAAUAGCCUCGGGAAACUGAGAGUAAUACCGUAUGUGCCCUUCGGGGAAAGAUUAUCGCCAAAGGAUUAGCCCGCGUUGGAUUAGAUAGUUGGUGGGGUAAUGGCCUACCAAGUCUACGAUCCAUAGCUGGUUUGAGGGGAUGAUCAGCAACACUGGGACUGAGACACGGCCCAGACUCCUACGGGAGGCAGCAGUGGGGAAUCUUAGACAACUGGGCGCAAGCCUGAUCUAGCCAUGCCGCGUGGACGAUCGAAGGCCUUAGGGUUGUAAAGUCCUUUCAGAUGGGAAGAUAAUGACGGUACCAUCAGAAGAAGACCCCGGCUAACUCCGUG
rnacentral:rRNA from 1 species